rnacentral:rRNA from 1 species
GACGAACGCUGGCGGCGUGCCUAAUACAUGCAAGUCGAGCGCCGAAGGUUGGUACUUGUACCCAUUGGAUGAGCAGCGAACGGGUGAGUAACGCGUGGGGAAUCUGCCUUUGAGCGGGGGACAACAUCUGGAAACGAAUGCUAAUACCGCAUAAAAACUUUAAACACAAGUUUCAAGUUUGAAAGAUGCAAUUGCAUCACUCAAAGAUGAUCCGGGGUUGUAUUAGCUAGUUGGUGAGGUAAAGGCCAACCAAGGCGAUGAUACUUAGCCGACCUGAGAGGUGGAUGGGCACAAUGGGAAUGGAGCAAGGCCCAAAAUCCUUCGGGGAGGAACAGUAGGGGAACUUCGGCAAAGGGGGGAAAUCCGGACGAAGCACGCCGCGGGGGUGGAGGAAGUUUUCGGGUCGUAAAACUCUGUUGGUAGGGAAAGAAGUUGGUGAGAGUGGAAAGCUCAUCAAGUGACGGUAACUAACCAGAAAGGGACGGCUAACUACGUG